rnacentral:lncRNA from 1 species
GCAAAAAAUAAAGUUUCACGUAAUAGUCAUACACCGCAUAAUGGUCGCACCCCCCAUUUUUAAGGAAAGGAAUUAGGCAUAAAAUCUGCAACCAUUAUGCAGUGAAAUACGGUAUUUUUUUUGUAUAGUUAAUUUAUGUGUCAUUAAUACAAAAUUAUUUCUCUUGCAAAUAGAUGAAGAAUAGCAAGUUCAUCAAAUGUGUACAGCAAAUGGCAUCCCAACUACACACUGCUACUAUUAGGGAAGAGGUGAUAAAGGUAGCAAUCCUGACAUCCUUUACAGAUUAUGGCUGUGCCCCAUCUGGAAGAUAUUUUUGUGACCACCCCAGUUCGUGUCUCCUACCCAAAGGUGUUUAAAGCUGUGCCCGGCUUCUGUAAAUUUACUGAUAGCUCCAUUCAGGUGUUCUUUUUGAAACAAGAUAUAAACUGGUUGCACAAGCAUGCAGUCUUGGCAUAGAGUCCGUCUAAGUAAUAAAAACCCUGGAAUAUGGGGCAAGGCCAGCAUUAAAAUAAUUGUCUCCUCAACUCUUCCCUUCCAAGAGAGUCAACUACAAUCAAACCUAUGGAUUACUUUGACAAGUAGAUACUCUGGGACAGAUAGCAGGAAAUUAUGUAGCAGUUAACAUAAAAAUAAAGUGGAUUCUAUUAGAUAAAUUACUUAUACUAGCCUGUAUACCUCAUUGCACAAGUUCAUUGUGUAAUCAACUGGUAAUGUAGAACUCUACAGUAACAGGUCCAGCAUUGUAUCAGUGUGCGUGUAUCAUCUCGAUAAAGCAGGUGGUGAUAGCAUGUGAUCUUGCUGCUCUCUACAACAUAAGGCGCAGAUAACAAGAGAAGUUCAAAACUUCAGGACCCUUGGACUUGUGAGUCUGAUAGCAAAUUCAAUUCCAACAACUACAUGCCUGUUUGACAAAUGUUUUGUUCAAACACCAAAAGUAAAAACGUGAUAUGUGACUUUUUGUUAGAGCAAUAACUAGAAAAUUUAAAGAUACUAGAACUGGACCUCUAGAAUGUAGCGUGAUCUGAAAUCUCCAGAGUGUUCAGACAACUGAAUUUGGCCUCCAGAAUAUUGAAUGUCCAAACACUAGAAACUGACUUUCAGAAUGUUCAGCCACUAAAACAGGACAUCCAGAUUGGACAAACACUAGAACAGGACCUCUAAAAGCAACAGUCAUUAGGACAGGACCUCCAGAAUGGGCAGACAUUAAAAUAUGACCUACAGAAUAGGUAGACAUGAAAAUAGGACCUCUGGAAUGGCAAGACAUCGGUAUAGGACCUCUACAAUGGUCAGACAUUAAAAUUGGACCUCCAGAAUGCAUAGACAUAAGAAUAGGAACUCCAAAAUUAACAGAAAUUUGAAUAGGGCCACUGAAAUAGACAGACAUUUAUCUAAGCCCCUGGGGUGUUGUAGGUACUUGGGAUUUGCUAUCUCUGGUGAAAUAAUUAAAAUGUUUUUUUUGGGGGGGUGGGGGGGUUGUUUCCUCUAUUUCCAAGCACUUUGUCAAUUUGAAAACACAUUUACUACCAUAUUAGCACUCACACUGUGGCAUCAGGCCUCCACGAAACUGGAAUCAUAACAUAUUAAUUCAUCCAACGGCCUACAGAGGGAUUUCGCGUGUUCAUUUGCUGUAUUGCAGCUUUGCUUUUCCAGUUUUUAUGUUUGUCAGCACAACAUAUGGGCAAGAUAAUUUGUAUUCCACGUAUUAGGCUGGCAGUGUAAAUUAUUAAAAGCCCUAUUCAAGGAAGCAUUAUCCACCAUAUGUAAUUUUUUUUUCUUGUUUCACAGCAUUUGCUUAAUGCAUCUAUUCAGACAAGAGAGAAAAGAAAAACAUGAAGCUUCAUUUUCCAGAGUACCCAAAAGAAAAUGUUUAUUAUCCAAACAUUCACCACAAGGGACGCAGAAAAUAGACCCUAGUAAUCCCAUAUGACUAACACAAGCUGGUGAUAAUUAGAAACAAACCAUUAGACAGGGUUUACUAACCAAAGCACUGCAAAUACUAUCAUGCCCAGCCAGCCUGAAGCAUCAUGGGAAGCAAAGUCCAGAAACAUCUACACUACUAAGAUUUACCAUCGCUAGACUAUUAGAUUUGAAUGUUGUGCUGCAAGCAUCCUAUGUUGUUGAUUCACUAAACGGUGAAUUCUACCAAAAGCCAAAUUGCAAAACAUAGGCCAACCUAGUUGAGCUGGACAAUUAUCUUGAAUUCUGCUUUCCUUAGAAUUUCAAUUCAC